rnacentral:rRNA from 1 species
AUUGAACGCUGGCGGCAGGCUUAACACAUGCAAGUCGAGCGAGUGGCGGACGGGUGAGUAAUGUCUGGGAACCUGCCCGAUGGAGGGGGAUAACUACUGGAAACGGUGGCUAAUACCGCAUACCAUCGGAUGUGCCCAGAUGGGAUUAGCUAGUGGGUGGGGUAAUGGCUCACCUAGGCGACGAUCCCUAGCUGGUCUGAGAGGAUGACCAGCCACACUGGAACUGAGACACGGUCCAGACUCCUACGGGAGGCAGCAGUGGGGAAUAUUGGACAAUGGGCGCAAUCCUGAUGCAGCCAUGCCGCGUGUGUGAAGAAGGCCUUCGGGUUGUAAAGCACUUUCAGCGGGGAGGCGGUACUCGCAGAAGAAGCACCGGCUAACUCCGUGCCAGCAGCCGCGGUAAUAC